rnacentral:lncRNA from 1 species
UGUAACUGAGGCUGCGAAAAGGAAGCACACAAAUCGACGCCAUUUUUCAACAGAUUAAGGUUUCUGAGCUCACGAAAUCCUAGUAUUAUUACUUUUAAUGGUUAGUAGAAAGAUAUUAAUACUAUCCAUAACAUAAUUUAUUGAUCUGAUCGGGUUAUGGCUACAUGUUUGCCUCUUUUCGAUUCUUAAAUCCAGUAAAUUUCCGUAGACCACAUGUAAAUAAACGCCCCUUUUCCAGCGUGAGACUUCAAUUUGAAUAAAACUUCAAUUUUGGCAGGUCAAUGUUAGCAUUUAAAUUAAAUUUAAUUAAAGUUUUACAGUUGUGUAAUGCAUAUGUGCUGAUUUGUUUGGUUGUCUCGAAUAGUAAAAAGGUUAAUAUUUUUAUUUUUGAACCCAAAAAGUGUGACAAAAAACACAAAAAACAAACAAUAAAAAAUAUAGGAAAAAAUAACUACUCCCAGGAUAAAGGGGGGUUCUCAACUAUAUGUCCCCAUUCAAAUGCAUUGAUCGUCCCAAAAAAAAGGAGAUUCCAAUCCCUGGAACCCUAUCCCUGGAUCUGCCACUGGGAACUAUGACUAUUAAAACGUAUAAAGAAUUAGAGAAUUAUUACUAAAGGAACAAGAAUAGAGAAAAUUUACCAUAAAAUAAGUAAAAAAUAGAGCAAAUGACAUGCUAGUCCAAAUUAUUAUGAAGUCUGACAAGACUACUUUUUUUCUGGGACGACUUCCUAUGCAUCCCAGAAAAAAAUCAAAAUAUUCCUAGCAGCAAGCCAGAGGUCUGGUCAUAAUCAUUUUGAACUAUUGAUGUGCUAAUUUAUAUAUUGAGGAAAGAGAAAUUAUGGACAAAAAGUAUAAAAAAAAAUAGAGACCAAUGAACUAAAGAUUAAAUGAUAAAGAAAUGCAGAACACCCCAUCCAGACCCUUGUCUAUGUGAACAACAGUACUAUUAUUUUUGCUGAAUAGUGCAUAUGGGCAUGUAAAAUAUCUUUUAAAAGGUUUCAGGUAUAUGAAAUAUUCACCAGUAGGAAAGUAUAAAUUCUGUCCCUCCUUCCAUGCUAAAAAAAAAAUAUGUGAUUUAUUGUUGAAUUUUAUUGCCACCUUCAGUAUUGGCUAGGUGUUGUGGCCAGGUUUUAUUGGCAUUGGAUACAUUUAUUAUCAAUUACUGGUAUGAAGAAUUAAAGAUAUGAAUGAUUGAAUGAAAAGUUAUCUUUUAAAUAACAGAUACCUGUAAGAUAAUUUAAUGUUGCAUAUUACGUUAUACUUUAUUUAAACAUUAUUUAUAUCUAUUAAAAAGGUUGAUAUGUUAUUAUGGUGAUGAAUUUUAAAUACUAAGUAAAUGAAUUUAUAAGUAGAAAAUUUUUCCAAACAUCUGUUGGUGUGUAUAAGUAUUACCUUUUCUAGAGGACCUUUUUCGGGACGUCUGGAUUGGGUAUUUUUAGCUCAGGAUUUCGGGAUUGAUCCUUCGGAUUCCAGUAUUUCCUUUCAACAUUUUUUUUUUAAAUUGGGACCUCAGAAGAUCAUGUUUUUGUCAGUAGACAAUUAAAAUAUAUUAUAAUUUACCGAUCAUAUAGCAACUCUAGAGAAGUUUGAAAUUAUAUUCAUUUGAUAAUAUCAUCUGCAUAAAUUAUAUAUUUUCAGAUAACAAUAGGAAUAAGAAGAGCAGGAUUUCUAUAUUGAGGAUUUACAUGUAUGGGACAGAGGACUAUUUGACUUGAUUUUACUUUAAAAAACUUUUUAAUUUUAACAAUAGUUCUCCUUAAUUGUUUAAAAUACUUUUUACAUAUUUUUCAUUUUAACAUUAUUUUUAUGACUUUGUAUUUAUUCAUCAUUUAAUAAACUUUUUAUUCUAAACAUUUUUAUAUUUUCAAAUAUACAUACAAUGUGAAACACUCCACCAUUUUAUAUUGAUAACGUGGGGUAAAUGUACAUGAGACACUAUACUGUUGCAAUACAAUAUUACUUAAUGUCAUUGAAAAACCUGAGAUUCAUUGAUGCAAAGCUAGCAUAUUCAUAGGGCCCCCCUUUCAUAGAAAAAAAUUGGUUGAUUAAAUAGGGAAUCACUGGAGCGGGCCCCUCCUAGUUAGUCAGCAGCAGCCCCCCCCCCCAAAUAGAAAAAGUUCUGGAUCGGUCACUGGUAUCAGACAUAUACAUGUAUGUACUGUAGUAUUUGAGACAUAAGAAAAAAAAAGAUAUAAAAAGUCAAAAUGAUGGUCUUUUAUUCUUUAUAAGGUUUGAAUGACUUAAAUGGAAAGUUUCUAGAAUUGUUCACUUCUCCUAGACAUAGUGAGGUCUCUCAAGUAGCCUAUCAUGACAUGACUUUUCACUGUUUUGCUUCCAAUGGCAUGUAGAUUUCAAAGUGUGGUAACCCCUGCACCUAAAUAAAUCAUUUUCAGUAGAUACAUAUCUCUUUUUUCAGACUUUUUGAUGAAAAGUUUAAACUAAUAUACAAAUUAGAAAAAAGAAAACUGAUCAACUUGAACCCACAACAUAUAAUUGAUCUCAGGUGCUCUGGAAGAGUAAGC